UACAGAGGGGGCGAGCGUUAUUCGGAAUUAUUGGGCGUAAAGAGCUCGUAGGCGGUUUGUUGCGUCGGCUGUGAAAUCCCGAGGCUCAACCUCGGGUCUGCAGUCGAUACGAGCAAACUAGAGUGUUGCAGGGGAGACUGGAAUUCCUGGUGUAGCGGUGAAAUGCGCAGAUAUCAGGAGGAACACCGGUGGCGAAGGCGGGUCUCUGGGCAACAACUGACGCUGAGGAGCGAAAGCGUGGGGAGCGAACAGG
rnacentral:rRNA from 1 species